AAAGGGCCCACGCAGGUCAACCAGGGGAAAUGCCAAGUGGAAUAAAAACCAACAUCAAGUCUGCUUCAGUGCAUCCUGACCAGCGGCUCUCACCAAGUCUUCAUUUAAGCUUCAAUUCAGAAUGAAAAAGAUGUGUACCUCCCCACAUUUUCAUCAUGCUCCACUCUUACGUGUGAUGGAUUCAGAUCUGCACAAUUCCUUAGAGCUCGGCCCGAGGGGCCUGCACAUCUUUCUCUCCCGAGGGAAAAUAAAGGUCACCUCCCAGGUGAUGCUGGUGGGGAGCACGGACUAUGGAGACAGGAAGGGAUCUUAGAUGCUGCCCAACCCCAGGGGUUCUGCAAGGCAUUCAGGAUGGUUGGCCUUGUUACAGGUGGCAGUGACUUCUUUCAAAUUUCUAUUUAGAAAAAUAAUAAUUAAAGUAAUUAUUUACACAACCUCUUGGCCCAUUCUACUAAGAUCACUUUGGGAGUCUCUUUCUACUGGUUAAAAAUAUAAAACAUAAGUUUACUGAAAUAAAGACCAUACAA